rnacentral:rRNA from 1 species
GACGAACGCUGGCGGCGUGCUUAACACAUGCAAGUCGAACGGAAAGGCCCUGCUUUUGUGGGGUGCUCGAGUGGCGAACGGGUGAGUAACACGUGAGUAACCUGCCCUUGACUUUGGGAUAACUUCAGGAAACUGGGGCUAAUACCGGAUAGGAGCUCCUGCUGCAUGGUGGGGGUUGGAAAGUUUCGGCGGUUGGGGAUGGACUCGCGGCUUAUCAGCUUGUUGGUGGGGUAGUGGCUUACCAAGGCUUUGACGGGUAGCCGGCCUGAGAGGGUGACCGGCCACAUUGGGACUGAGAUACGGCCCAGACUCCUACGGGAGGCAGCAGUGGGGAAUAUUGCACAAUGGGCGGAAGCCUGAUGCAGCAACGCCGCGUGCGGGAUGACGGCCUUCGGGUUGUAAACCGCUUUCGCCUGUGACGAAGCGUGAGUGACGGUAAUGGGUAAGGAAGCACCAGCUAACUACGUG